GACAACCGGAAGUAGGGCCAGCAGAAACAAUAGAGAGGCACACAUGGUCGCCAAAGUUAUCUGGUGGCGCCCAGUUUUUAUUGGUGGAGGAGAGAACCCAGAUACAAUGUACCUGGGAAGAGACCACUGACCUUCCAAAAGUAAACUGGGAAACUUUCUCACUUACUGGUGCGAGCGGGAUUCAAACUUGUGCUGACAGAGGUGAGAGGCCGUGUGAUUUUGAGUGCGAUGCUCUUACCACUCCGCCACGGAGGGCCCCUAGGUGAUGAUGUAAAGGAACACAAGUGAGAAGAUGGGGAAGUGCAAAGUUACUGGGGCAAAUGAUCAAAAUGUGAUGGCGAAGGGGGGAUACUAUUAUUGCUUCUUCAUCUUUGAACUCUUGCCUUUGCAAAUUUUUCACAACUGAAACUUUUCGAUUUGCAUGUGUGAGACCCGAAACCAAAAAUGUUUUGUUGACUUAGUUGCUUCCCAUGUGGCAAUAUUAAAAAAAUAUCAACUUU